CUGAGUCCACGGCACGGGACGAGGGAUGGGGCGGAGAGAGGCAGAGACAGCGCUGAGACCCUUGGAACGGGAGUGAGAAUGGGACCGAGGAUGAGGCUGGGGACCUCUACGGGGAUGGAAAUUGAGACAGGGACAGGAAGGAAGGUAAGGAUAAGGCAGAGAACAGGUAUGGGGCGGAGGAUACUGAUGUGGAUGGGGUGCGGGUGAAGAUGGAGACGGUAAUAGUGCCGGUGCCGAGGGAUCUCGCUGGUCCUGCCCCGCCGCAGUCCCAAGAGUUAAAGGGGCUUGUCCAGCCGCAUCACCAGGCGGCCGCGGACAUUAGCAUGGAAAUGAGGCGCUUUUGGGACUGACGACCAUUGUGCUCUCCCAGGCUCACCGGCCACCCUCUGGCCUUCAUCCUUGCUCCCCCCGCACCUCCGCCGGGCUCACCCUCGCCUGUCCAGGGCUGGGGUAGGGAAGGAGGAGCCGGGGAGAGGAGGACGAAUGAUUGGACGGGGCCCCGGGGGCUCCGCAGCCCAUCUGCUGUGCUCCCGCAGCUCCGCUGCCGCCCGUCCGCCUUGGGACAGGGUGGGGGGACGGCUGUCCGGGGUGCCGGGGGUCGCAGCCCUAGGACAGAGCCGGGACAGGGGCAGAGGAGCUACGGGAGGCGCAGGGCCCUCUGCGCCCGGCCCCUUUGUCCCUGCGCUCCGCCACCCGGGUCGGCGGUGGGGAGAGGUGGCAGAUGGUCAGUGUCAGAGGCGGUCCCAGGACCCUUGGGAACCGCGCUGAGCAUCGACUCCAACCCACCCCUCCCCAACACCGUGGGGAGGUGGGUCAAAAAAUGGGUACGUGGCCGGAGAAGGAGGGAUGGCGGUGAGAUGUGGGUUACGACCUCAUAUUCGGUUUACGUAUGCGGAAAGAGAAAGGGGAGGUGAAGGCCGGGCAUCCGUCUGUCCCAGCGCAUCCAGCCGUCUGCAGCCGGAAAGGACGGCACCAAAAUCUUCAAAAGGAGUUCUGCAAAACGUCAGCCUCGGAGAAAGAUGGAUGGAUGGAAAGUCAUGUCCCCUGACACCAGCCCCAGGAGGGGCUACCCCCUCUAUUUCUGCAGCGUUGUCAGCAUCCGGAAAUCUGGGCACAAAAGAAACCCCAACCCUCACAUGCACGUUGCGGUCCAAUUUAACCCAGUGGCAGAGGAGUGAAAAUGCCGGUAAGACUGCUCGCUUUCCGCAGGGACACGGCUGGAGCAGAGGGAAGGAGGAGAACCAAGGCCGAGGUUUCACCGCGCCCGCAGCUCAGCCAAGCUGUUGUUUUAAAAGAGCAAUAAAAGUGAAUUAUGACUAAACGCCUUCUCGCUUAAUGGUUUUAGACGGGGAUCCCCAGCCCCGGCAAAUACGGCUGAUUUCUUGGACUACUCAGCACGUGAGAAGUAACCAACCACAUUCUUUGUGAGCUCUGAUAUUUUUUAAGUUACGUUUUACGAAAUAUCUUGCUGGCUGCU